AUGGUUACAGUCUAUUACAGUAGAAGGUCUUAAUGGUUACAGUCUAUUACAGUAGACGGUCUUAAUGGUUACAGUCUAUUACAGUAGAAGGUCUUAAUGGUUACAGUCUAUUACAGUAGAAGGUCUUAAUGGUUACAGUCUAUUACAGUAGAAGGUCUUAAUGGUUACAGUCUAUUACAGUAGAAGGUCUUAAUGGUUACAGUCUAUUACAGUAGAAGGUCUUAAUGGUUACAGUCUAUUACAGUAGAAGGUCUUAAUGGUUACAGUCUAUUACAGUAGAAGGUCUUAAUGGUUACAGUCUAUUACAGUAGAAGGUCUUAAUGGUUACAGUCUAUUACAGUAGAAGGUCUUAAUGGUUACAGUCUAUUACAGUAGAAGGUCUUAAUGGUUACAGUCUAUUACAGUAGAAGGUCUUAAUGGUUACAGUCUAUUACAGUAGAAGGUCUUAAUGGUUACAGUCUAUUACAGUAGAAGGUCUUAAUGGUUACAGUCUAUUACAGUAGAAGGUCUUAAUGGUUACAGUCUAUUACAGUAGAAGGUCUUAAUGGUUACAGUCUAUUACAGUAGAAGGUCUUAAUGGUUACAGUCUAUUACAGUAGACGGUCUUAAUGGUUACAGUCUAUUACAGUAGACGGUCUUAAUGGUUACAGUCUAUUACAGUAGACGGUCUUAAUGGUUACAGUCUAUUACAGUAGACGGUCUUAAUGGUUACAGUCUAUUACAGUAGAAGGUCUUAAUGGUUACAGUCUAUUACAGUAGAAGGUCUUAAUGGUUACAGUCUAUUACAGUAGAAGGUCUUAAUGGUUACAGUCUAUUACAGUAGAAGGUCUUAAUGGUUACAGUCUAUUACAGUAGAAGGUCUUAAUGGUUACAGUCUAUUACAGUAGAAGGUCUUAAUGGUUACAGUCUAUUACAGUAGGAGGUCUUAAUGGUUACAGUCUAUUACAGUAGGAGGUCUUAAUGGUUACAGUCUAUUACAGUAGGAGGUCUUAAUGGUUACAGUCUAUUACAGUAGGAGGUCUUAAUGGUUACAGUCUAUUACAGUAGGAGGUCUUAAUGGUUACAGUCUAUUACAGUAGGAGGUCUUAAUGGUUACAGUCUAUUACAGUAGGAGGUCUUAAUGGUUACAGUCUAUUACAGUAGGAGGUCUUAAUGGUUACAGUCUAUUACAGUAGAAGGUCUUAAUGGUUACAGUCUAUUACAGUAGAAGGUCUUAAUGGUUACAGUCUAUUACAGUAGAAGGUCUUAAUGGUUACAGUCUAUUACAGUAGAAGGUCUUAAUGGUUACAGUCUAUUACAGUGUUUUCCCCACUGACUCCUGCUGGAACACAUGAGGUCAUAAUAAUAUCUUUGUCUCUUUGUCCCUCUGAUCUACCUCUCCUC